rnacentral:rRNA from 1 species
GUACGCUGGCGGCACGCCUAACACAUGCAAGUCGAACGAAGUAGCAAUACUUAGUGGCAGACGGGUGAGUAACAUGUAGGUAUCUACCCUAUGGCCUGGAAUAACACGAGGAAACUUGUGCUAAUACUGGAUAAGUCUUUACGGAGAAAGCUUUAUGCACCAUUGGAUGAGCCUGCACUUGAUUAGUUUGUUGGUGGGGUAAUGGCCUACCAAGACUUUGAUCAAUAGCUGAUUUGAGAGGAUGAUCAGCCACAUUGGGACUGAGACACGGCCCAAACUCCUACGGGAGGCAGCAGUGGGGAAUCUUGCACAAUGGAGGAAACUCUGAUGCAGCGAUGCCGCGUGAGUGAAGAAGGCCUUUGGGUUGUAAAGCUCUUUCGUCGGGGAAGAAAAUGACUGUACCCGAAUAAGAAGGUCCGGCUA